CUGAAGUGCGUGUGCUGGCACACUCCUGUGAUCUCAGCACUCGGGAGGCUGAGGCAGGAGGAU
rnacentral:miRNA from 1 species